rnacentral:rRNA from 1 species
CGGCGAACGGGUGAGUAACGCGUGGGUAAUCUGCCCCCAAGACCGGGAUAACAGUGCGAAAGCGCUGCUAAUACCGGAUAAUCUCUUCUUGUCGCAUGAUAGGGAGAGCAAAGCUCCGGCGCUUGGGGAUGAGCCCGCGUUCCAUUAGCUAGUUGGUGAGGUAACGGCUCACCAAGGCGACGAUGGAUUGCCGGCCUGAGAGGGUGACCGGCCACACUGGGACUGAGACACGGCCCAGACUCCUACGGGAGGCAGCAGUAGGGAAUUUUCGGCAAUGGGGGAAACCCUGACCGAGCAACGCCGCGUGGGGGAAGAAGGCCUUCGGGUCGUAAACCUCUGUCUUUGGGGACGAUAAUGACGGUACCCGAGGAGGAAGCCCCGGCUAACUACGUGCCAGCAGCCGCGGUAAUACGUAGGGGGCGAGCGUUGUCCGGAAUCACUGGGCGUA